UAAAGGGAUACACAAAAUAGGGGUUGUCAGGGACCGGUAUGUGCACAAAAUCGGCACUAUUAACGGUUUGGAUCCAUAUGAAAUUCCCAACCAAUAGUGGAGUACCGAUGGAGACUUGCUGCCGCAUUUUUGCAUUACAGAUAUCCUCGGCUACAUUGUUUGUUUUGUGAGCGCCUACACUUCAGAACAGUUCCGAAGCUACAAGUCAUUAGAGUCUCAUGUGCAGUUCACAAAUGGAUAUGUUCAGGAGUUGCAGAUCAUAAAACCGGCAAACAGUAUACGUUACAGUAAUCUGGACAAAGACAAUGGACUUUUUCAUGAAGGCAACAAUAAAAUUUCUGCCUGUUAAUUGAAACAUUUCAAGACCUUCGUGCAGAAAUUGUCUUUAAACUCUUCCUGCUGUCUGCACCAUACCACACAAAUGGAAAAAUGGUGUGCACAUCAAACACGGAAAUGAAGAGGUCCUUCAUUGACAUUCAAC